AUGAGGCCACCACUCGGGGCAUCAAUCCGUCCUCUGCGACGACGAAUCCAACAGCAAGUGUUAUCUAUCCGCCGGAACAAUACAACACCGGCAGCUACUGCAGACACUGCCCGCACUGCCAGCAGGAGCAAGCAACAACAACUCGUCAACAGCAGCAGCGGACACCAGCAAGUGACGCUGGUUUCGUGGAUCGGGUUGUCAAUUUGGUGCACCGACGAUCAUAAGCAACGAGACAAUAAAGGCGAAGAUGGCACGGAGAGACCGGAUAAAAUUGGGUUAAGUUAUAUCUCCACGGCCGUGUGGGCCAGAUAUUUCCCAGUUUGUCUUGGUAGUGUGUGUGUGGAGUGCGUCUAG
rnacentral:rRNA from 1 species